AAAAAAAAAAAAAACAGCAAGAUUUGUGAACCGGCUAUUCUUCUAUAUAAAAUAAGAGGUAGCACAGGAAACCGGUUCAAAGUGAACCGGCUAUUCUUCUUUUAUCUACCCCAAGUUUGGGCGGCGGCGGCGAUUGUUCCCAUGUUCGAUCAGAAAAUGCCGGUGAGAGUGGUUGAUAGUUCGGCGCCGUCGCAGGCGUCAGGUGCAAAUCUUGGCAACACUUCAGCCCUUGCUCGUACAUUUUUAAGUGUUGGACAGGUGGUUAUGAUUUCCGAUUGUACUGCACAUGGAUGCAUGGACUGUGAGGCUAUAAAUAAGCCAUAGCUAGAGAAUGGGAAUUCAUGUUGAGAAAUGAAUUGAAUAUACUCUGUUAUCUCUGUCUCACUUUUUGUUACCUUUCUAUCUGUCUCUCGAAUAUUCUCCCAUUUCUUGUUGUUUUUUUCCUUCCAUCCGAGUUCUCCCUCCUAAUUUUGCUCUCCCGUUCUCUUAACCUUCUCAAUUCCCUUUCUAACCCCUAGCCCAAGUGUAAUACCCUAUGUUUGUAUGAGGUUGUCAUAUAAUUUCGAUAAGUUUAGAAUACCGAAAAAUUGACUUGAUAGCAGUUAUCAGUACCAAAUCGACUGCAAGGAGUGCCCUGAAGCUGAGAUGCCAAAGGAAAAUGAUACGGGAUGAGUAUCUUGAUAUAGGAUUUAUGGUAUCGAAAGAAAUCGAAUCAGGAAUGGUUUUCGGUACAACUAAAAUGCAGUUGCCAUUAGGCUACAAAAUCGAAUUAUCGUUGGGACUCCCAAAAAAUCAACGAACCCUAUGGGGGCUCCGGUUUUGCAUAAGAAUCAACCCUUUAGUUGUUUCGGGAUUAAACGAUGGCCCGAUAAGAAUACUAGGGUGAAAUCGACAUUAUCGAGUAAUUUUGAAGUUAUUAAUUUUGCGUUUUCAGUAUCGAAAUGUCAAUUAAUUCAUUGUUUAAGGGUAUAAUUGUAAUUACGGAAUUGCCCAAAUAAAAUUGGAGUCUAAAGAUUUAAUUUUCUUAUAUAUAAUGUACUAUAUAAUGUUAUAUAUGUUUAUAUAUAUAUAUAUAUACAAUGCGUGUCUGUGCAAGAAAGAGAAAUAGCAUGCCAUGCCCUGCAAACCGAACGUGAAUUGGGGUGUUCUUCACGCAAUAGGGAAUGGCUAGGCAGCGAGGAAAGGCAGAAUAUUGCUUAUAAAUAGAGGGAGGGUCUCUGAGAGAAAUGAGGGAGAAGGAAGCAGGAGCAGCCAUAGCCGAGAAGCUCCAGUAAGCUCGGCAAGCAGGGUUAGUGUGGAGGAGGUCGGUGAUGGCCAAGGUGGAGACCAGAGAGGUUGGUGGCAAGCGGCGAGGCCGACUAAAGGCCAAGGCGAGCUGCAGCCACGAGCUGCUGCGCUUGUAGGCAGCCAUGGCCGACGCGAUGCAAGCUGGGCAACAGCGGGUGACGGGGAGGCUGGUGCGAUGGUGGUGGUGGGCUCCGUGGAGGUCUGAGAGGUGGCCGGUGGCAUUGGAGGUAGCCGACAAAGGCCAAGGCGACGGUCGCGAUGCUCUGUGUGUGCGCGGGUGCGUUGCAGUGAAGAAUAAUGAGAGAAGAAAAAGGAGGGAAGGAGAAGGAGGAGGAGGAGAAGAAGAAGGGAAGAAAAUGAAAGAAGAAAAGAAAAAAAAAAGAAAGAGAAAAAGAAAUAAAGAAGAAAUGGUGGCAUGGCUGUUCGUGCGCAUGGAGCAGGAAAGGAGGAGGUGGAAGAAGAAGGAAGGAAAAAAGAAAAGAAAAGAAAGAAAAAAUAGAAAAAAUCUUGAAAAAUAAGAAGUGGAUAUUUAUUAAUAUUUCAGAGAUUUUGGGCAAGAAAAUGGUUUGGGAACGCAUUUCAAGCAUAUGACACGUAAACCAAAGAAACCUGAGAAGCUAAGUUAAGAUAAGUAAAAUUCCCUAGAAAAUUUCAUAAAUUCAAGAAUAAUAGUUUAUGAAUUCUCAUAGUGAAAUAUUUAAGAAAAUAUUGAGAAAUAUUUAGUUUGGAUUUAUUAAGAAAAAUAAGAAAAAAAUAAAAAAAAUGUAAGAAAUUAUGGGGAAAUAGGUUUUAAUACUUAUUUAAAUAAAUAUAGUGAUUAUGAUAUUUUGAGGCUAAAGUUGAAGUGACUUGUGCGAAUUUUGAGGUUGACACGCAAAUUGAGGCGAUGCAAGAAUUUUGAGAUAGACGCAAAUAUCAAGGUAGCUCGAUAAGCUUGAGAAGGUAAGUGGUACUUUCCAAUUGGACUUAGUUUUAUGAAAAAUGCUUGGUUUGUAAGUGGUUCAACCCAAACCCAAUUUAAGUAAAUGAUUUUGUCAUGUUGUCAUAUCUUGUUAUGAAUAUGUCAUGUAGAUUGCAUUUACAUGCUAUGAAAUGCAUAUGUACACGUUGAUAUUAUUGA